rnacentral:rRNA from 1 species
AACGAACGCUGGCGGCAUGCCUAACACAUGCAAGUCGAACGAGACCUUCGGGUCUAGUGGCGCACGGGUGCGUAACGCGUGGGAACCUGCCCUUAGGUUCGGAAUAACUCCCCGAAAGGGGUGCUAAUACCGGAUAAUGUCUUCGGACCAAUGAUUUAUCGCCUUUGGAUGGGCCCGCGUUGGAUUAGCUAGUUGGUAGGGUAAAAGCCUACCAAGGGGACGAUCCAUAGCUGGUCAGAGAGGAUGGUCAGCCACACUGGGACUGAGACACGGCCCAGACUCCUACGGGAGGCAGCAGUGGGGAAUAUUGGACAAUGGGCGGAAGCCUGAUCCAGCAAUGCCUCGUGAGUGAUGAAGGCCUUAGGGUUGUAAAGCUCUUUUACCCGGGAUGAUAAUGACAGUACCGAGAGAAUAAGCUCCGGCUAACUCCGUG